rnacentral:rRNA from 1 species
AGGACGAACGCUGGCGGCGUGCUUAACACAUGCAAGUCGAACGGAGCUAUAGGAGAGCUUGCUUGAAUAUAGCUGAGUGGCGGACGGGUGAGUAACGCGUGAACAAUCUGUCUCAGUACAGGGGGAUAACGCAUCGAAAGAUGUGCUAAUACCGCGUAGGACCACGGAAUCGCAUGGUUCUGAGGUGAAAGGCGAAAGCCGGUAUGAGGUGAGUUCGCGUCUGAUUAGAUAGUUGGUGAGGUAACGGCCCACCAAGUCAACGAUCAGUAGCCGACCUGAGAGGGUGAUCGGCCACAUUGGGACUGAGACACGGCCCAGACUCCUACGGGAGGCAGCAGUGGGGAAUAUUGGGCAAUGGGCGCAAGCCCUGACCCAGCAACGCCGCGUGAAGGAAGAAGGUUUUCGGAUCGUAAACUUCUGUCCUAUGAGAAGAUAAUGACGGUAUCAUAGGAGGAAGCCCCGGCUAACUACGUGCCAGCCGCCGC